rnacentral:rRNA from 1 species
GACGAACGCUGGCGGCGUGCUUAACACAUGCAAGUCGAACGGAAAGGCCCUGCUUUUGUGGGGUGCUCGAGUGGCGAACGGGUGAGUAACACGUGAGUAACCUGCCCUUGACUUUGGGAUAACUUCAGGAAACUGGGGCUAAUACCGGAUAGGAGCUCCUGCUGCAUGGUGGGGGUUGGAAAGUUUCGGCGGUUGGGGAUGGACUCGCGGCUUAUCAGCUUGUUGGUGGGGUAGUGGCUUACCAAGGCUUUGACGGGUAGCCGGCCUGAGAGGGUGACCGGCCACAUUGGGACUAGGAUACGGCCCAGACUCCUACGGGAGGCAGCAGUGGGGAAUAUUGCACAAUGGGCGGAAGCCUGCUGCAGCAACGCCGCGUGCGGGAUGACGGCCUUCGGGUUGUAAACCGCUUUCGCCUGUGACGAAGCGUGAGUGACGGUAAUGGGUAAAGAAGCACCGGCUAACUACGUG